GCGCCUGUUGCCACAAACCCGUAGAUCCGAACUUGUGGUCAUAUUCCACACAAGCUUGUAUCUAUAGGUAUGUGUCUGUCUGGCAAGUGC
rnacentral:pre_miRNA from 1 species